UGGGUACUAAACCAAUCACCAGCUUCAUCUUCUCUUCAGCUGCAUAUCUCUGGUUCCUGGGAGCAGGUUGAUCCAGAACUGCUCUACAAGCAUCUCCUGUGGAUGAUUCUACUUCCUUAUGAGCUUGCCACAGUAGGACAAGAGAAUUUCUGGUGACAGUUUGGUGAUUGAGAAUUUGUCAACUUCUACUGCACUUUGGCUUUGAAUUUAUCCAACUUCCUCAUAAAGUUUCCUUUGUAAAUGCUGCCAGCUGGAAUUGCCACCUCAUGGCCUUUUUACCAUUAGUUCUGUGCUAUUAUAUGAAAAGAAUUUAAUGGCAACUCUGUCAUUGACUUCAGCAGUAUUAGAAUAAAGCUACUUACAAGGAUCCCACCAAGAUACUGAAAGGUUACCCCAAAGCCUUUCCUUUUCCAGGCUGAACUAUCCCAAUUUGUUUGGAAAGAAGCCAAGUCAUCUUUUAAUGUUUUUGGGGUUUUUUUAUUGUUUGCUAUAUCUGCUGCAUUUGCCUGCUAUGCAGCCUGGAAGCAGAGCCCAGGACCUGCCUAUGUGCAGUACAAAUGGCCAAGUCACCCAACUUGGUGUCACCAACUUCUGCUGAAGAAAUAAGAGAAAAAGAAAAAAAAAAAAAAAAACUAAGGAAAUGG